CCUGGAUGAACAGUAAGAAUGCUUAAUAGAGAGCAACUAAAGAUGGACUGAGCAUCAGAAAUUAAUAUAUGUGCAUCUUUGGUAAAAUAACUUAGGAAGCACAAAGUCAAAAGUCAAAUAUUGGUUUCAUAACACUCAAUGAAGGAUGACCAAUACUGGCAACCAACAAAAUUUCAGAAAGAAACUUCUAAAAAUACAAUGCCACGAACAACACCUCAUUUACACCAUAAAUCUACAGUGCCACAUCCAAACACAAAACUAACCACAAUGUUAAUGCUAUUACUGCAAAUAAGACCUUGGAUGUCAAACACAGAGCAUGUGCACCAGAUCUUCAAUGAAAACAUUGAAAUAUAAAAGAGAUGCUCAUGUCAAGCUAAGGAAAAUAUUUACAACAUUUUACCUUCUUCCGAGGUAGCCUUUGAAGAUUCUCCGCUUCCAUUGGAUGAUCCCUCUGCAUCUGUCAUCUUGACAUCAUUAUCUUUUGAACCAGAACUCUUCUCAUUUGCUUUCAGGCCAAGCUUCUUACUUUCCUCAUCUCUUAAAGA
rnacentral:misc_RNA from 1 species